rnacentral:rRNA from 1 species
GAUGAACGCUAGCGGCAGGCCUAAUACAUGCAAGUCGAACGGUGUCUUCGGACAUAGUGGCGCACGGGUGCGUAACACGUAUGCAACCUACCUUACAUUGGGGGAUAGCCUUUCGAAAGGGAGAUUAAUACCGCAUAAGACAGUAGCUGGGCAUCCAGCAGCUGUUAAAGAUUUAUCGAUGUAAGCUGGGCAUGCGUCCAAUUAGCUAGUUGGGGAGGUAAGGGCUCACCAAGGCAAUGAUUGGUAGGGGAACUGAGAGGUCAAUCCCCCACACUGGCACUGAGAUACGGGCCAGACUCCUACGGGAGGCAGCAGUAGGGAAUAUUGGGCAAUGGACGCAAGUCUGACCCAGCCAUGCCGCGUGCAGGAUGAAGGCGUUAUGCGUUGUAAACUGCUUUUAUACAGGAAGAAACGACUCUUGCGAGAGGCAUUGACGGUACUGUAUGAAUAAGCACCGGCUAACUCCGUGCCAGCAGCCGCCGUAAGAC